UGGGGAAUAUUGCACAAUGGAGGGAACUCUGAUGCAGCGACGCCGCGUGAGUGAUGAAGGAAUUCGUUUCGUAAAACUCUGUUCUAUGGGAAGAAAAGGACUGUACCAUAGGAGAAAGCUCCGGCUAAAUACGUGCCAGCAGCCGCGGUAAUACGUAUGGAGCGAGCGUUGUCCGGAAUUAUUGGGCGUAAAGGGUGCGCAGGCGGCUUUACAAGUUGGAUGUGAAAUAUUGUGGCUCAACCACAAACGUGCAUCCAAAACUGCAAAGCUUGAGUUAAGGAGAGGUAAGUGGAAUUCCUGGUGUAGCGGUUGAAGGCGUAGAUAUCAGGGGGAAUACCGGUGGCGAAGGCGACUUACUGGACUUAAACUGACGCUCAGGCACGAAAGCGUGGGGAGCAAACAGG
rnacentral:rRNA from 1 species